GGGGGUGUAGUUUAGAUGGUAGAACGUAUGUUUUGCAAGCAUAAGGCCAUCGGUUCGAGUCCGAUCAUCUCCA
rnacentral:tRNA from 1 species